AUCUGGCUGACGAGUCCUAAAUAGGAUGAAACACGCAUCGAACUGGAU
rfam:Schistosoma haematobium scaffold667_18, whole genome shotgun sequence.